AAAGAGAGUUUGAUCCUGGCUCAGGAUGAACGCUGGCGGUAUGCUUUACACAUGCAAGUCGUACGAGAGUUUUUAACUCAAGUGGCGGACGGGUGAGUAACACGUAAGAAUUUACCUUUAGGAGGGGGACAACAAUUGGAAACGGUUGCUAAUACCCCAUAUGCUUUCGAGUGAAAUGAAAUUUUUCGCCUAAAGAGAAGCUUGCGGCUGAUUAGCUUGUUGGUAAGGUAAUGGCUUACCAAGGCGACGAUCAGUAUCUGGUUUGAGAGGACGAUCAGACACACUGGAACUGAGACACGGUCC
rnacentral:rRNA from 13 species